rnacentral:rRNA from 1 species
UUUUUGCAAUUAUUGCUAAAUCACGGGUCCCCGACAUCGUUCAUCGGGGAGCUUACCGGUCUUGUUAGAGAUGGUUCCGGAACUACGCUCACACUUACUAGGUUGUUUCUAAACACCGACUUCGGGAAAGUUUCAUGAAAUCAAAUUUGUCAUCGCACGGGGGGCCCCGGGAGGUGAAUUUGCCCCCCCCCCCAAAAAAACUUUGUUUUUUUGAGAGGGGCACGAUGUGGGGACCCCGCAGACCCCCCCCCCCUAAAGGGUUGGGGGCAAAGUUGUUUAAAUAUUGAUGUUUCGGGGGUUUCCAAAUCCCCCCCCCAGGUUUCAAAUCUUGAAGUAAAAAGUCGUAACAAGGUUUCCGUAGGUGAACCUGCGGAAGGAUCAUUG